rnacentral:rRNA from 1 species
GACGAACGCUGGCGGCGUGCCUAAUACAUGCAAGUCGAGCGAAUGGAAGGGAGCUUGCUCCCUGAAGUUAGCGGCGGACGGGUGAGUAACACGUGGGCAACCUGCCUGUAAGACUGGGAUAACUUCGGGAAACCGGAGCUAAUACCGGAUACGUUCUUUCCUCGCAUGAGGAAAGAUGGAAAGAUGGUUUCGGCUAUCACUUACAGAUGGGCCCGCGGCGCAUUAGCUAGUUGGUGGGGUAAUGGCCUACCAAGGCGACGAUGCGUAGCCGACCUGAGAGGGUGAUCGGCCACACUGGGACUGAGACACGGCCCAGACUCCUACGGGAGGCAGCAGUAGGGAAUCUUCCGCAAUGGACGAAAGUCUGACGGAGCAACGCCGCGUGAGCGAAGAAGGCCUUCGGGUCGUAAAGCUCUGUUGUCAGGGAAGAACAAGUGCCAGAGUAACUGCUGGCACCUUGACGGUACCUGACCAGAAAGCCACGGCUAACUACGUGCCAGCCGCCGCCUAAAAC